CCUACGGGCGGCAGCAGUCGAGAAUCAUUCACAAUGGGGAAACCCUGAUGGUGCGACGCCGCGUGGGGGAAUGAAGGUCUUCGGAUUGUAAACCCGUGUCAUGUGGGAGCAAAUUAAAAAGAUAGUACCACAAGAGGAAGAGACGGCUAACUCUGUGCCAGCAGACGCGGGAAUACAGAGGUCUCAAGCGUUGUUCGGAAUCACUGGGCGUAAAGCGUGCGUAGGCUGUUUCGUAAGUCGUGUGUGAAAAGCGCGGGCUCACCCCGCGGACGGCACAUGAAACUGCGCGACUAGAGUAAUGGAGGGGGAACCGGAAUGCUCGGUGUAGCCGUGAAAUGCGUAGAUAUCGAGAAGAACACUCGUGGCGAAGGCGGGUUCCUGGACAUUAACUGACGCUGAGGCACGAAGGCCAGGGGAGCGAAAGGGAUUAGAUACCCCGGUAGUC
rnacentral:rRNA from 1 species